rnacentral:rRNA from 1 species
CGCCUUUUGUAAUAAAUAAAUAAAAGGUCCUGCCUGCCCAAUGACUUGUUUUAAUGGCCGCGGUAUUAUGACCGUGCAAAGGUAGCGUAAUCAUUUGUCUUCUAAUUAAAGACCAGUAUGAAUGGCAAAACGAAAGCCUCACUGUCUCCCUAGUUUAAUCAAUGAAAUUGAUCUCCCCGUGCAGAAGCGGGGAUAUAAAUAUAAGACGAGAAGACCCUGUGGAGCUUAAAACUUUCCUAAUAUACAAAUGCUUAGUAUCAAGUUUUAGGUUGGGGCGACCAUGAGGCACAGUAUAACCCUCACGACGAGAACAAGAAGGACACUUCAAACAACUAACAUAGUACAUUGACCCAAUAUUUGAUCAACGAACCAAGUUACCCCAGGGAUAACAGCGCAAUCUACUCAAAGAGUCCAUAUCGACGAGUGGGUUUACGACCUCGAUGUUGGAUCAGGACCCCCAAACAGCGCAACAGCUGUUAAAGGUUUGUUUGUUCAACAAUUAAAGUCCU